UGCGCGUGCACGAGGGCUCCAUUAAAAUAAAUUAUCAAGCGCGAAAGAUUGAGAGCCGUCGUCAAAUUCUUCACCGGUCCCAUUUAAAACGCCGCGAAUAAUCGGUGAUUAUUUUCUCAUUUCGGAUCCUCUGUGGUUUAUGGGUCAUUUUAAAAGGUUUUUUAAUUUCCUGUCGAGUGCGGAGUGCUCAGAUGUGUCCGUGUGUGCGCGCGAGGGAUUUGUGUUUUUGUUUUUACAGCGUGCUGUGCUCAGCUCUGGGCCCGUGUGUCAUGGAGGAUUUUAAUACGGAGCUCAUUUCCUGGAGCAGCUAAGAUAGAGAUCAAAGCCUGCUUGCUCUCACUGCUGAGUGUGGGACAGUCUGGGAGGGGAGAGGGUAGGGGAUGUCGCUCUGUGUCAAGCUCUCCUGACAGUCUAGAGUCUGCAUCAACAACAUCCUAAUCAAGACGUGAUGCUGGGGAGCGCUUUGAAGCAGCCAAUCUUUGUUCGCCGUGUAGUCGCUGUUAAUGUUUUUUAUUUAGUCAGGGUCCUCUGUUACAUUGCAGUCUCUGGGGCAAAUAGCAGCAUCUGGCUUCCCUGAGGGGAACGAGACGAGAACAGGGCUCUUCUGGGCCCUCAAACCGACACAACACUGCCACUAUCACCGUAAACUGUCCUAUCUGGAAUCAGGAGGGAUGUGGGAGAAAAAUAUGGGCGAUAUAAAAAUACUGGGCUAGAUAAGGUGUUGUAACUUGGGAAGAUGUGUGAAGAUAGAUGAAGGGAGGGACAUUUCCAUUGCAGAUUUCAUUCACAUAAAAUCAGGGAUGUAACCAAGGGCUAAAAUUUCAGUUUUCUUCAAUUGUACCUUCAAUUUCGAAUGCUUGAAUAUUGAAUCAGUUGCAUCUAUUUGUGAAAAUAUGUAUUUUACCCUCUAUACUUACAAAAAAAAUCACACCAGUUUAUGGAUUUAAAUUCAUAUUUGGGGAUGCAUGCAAAUAAAAGGUACAUAAAAAGUUGUUA